rnacentral:ncRNA from 1 species
UGACUCAUUAAAACUAGGAAACAAACUGGGAUUAGAUACCGCAAGCCUCAGCAUCCCAGUGAAAUCUGCCUAUAAAACAAAAUGUAAACAGAGCUGGCAUCAGGGGGCCCCUAAGACGCCAAGCUUCGCCACAUCCACACGGACAUGCAGCAGUAACUAACAUUUAACAAUGAGCCCAAGCUCGAUUAAGCUAUGGUUAAUUAGGGUUGGCAAAUCUCUGUGCCAGCCGCCGCGGUUACACAGAAGACCCAAAAUAGCAUUGCCGGUAAAAAAAUGACUAAAAUUCCAAAACCCUACAAAUAAGAUAAACACAAAGCUGAACCGUUAAAUAGCACUUACAAUAACCACAAAACUAUCUUAUAUUAAGGACAUUUUGACUCAUUAAAACUAGGAAACAAACUGGGAUUAGAUACCCCACUAUGCCUGGAAAUAAACAUAAAUGCCAAAAGAGUACAAACACAAGCUCAAAACUUAAAAGACCUGGCGGUGUCCAAAAUCAACCUAGAGGAGCUUGUUAUAUAAUCGAUGAUCCACGUUAAACCUUACCUACUCUGGCAAAUCCAGCCUAUAUACCGCCGUCGACAGCCCAUUUUUCAAAAAAUAGAGCAACGCAGGUCCCCCCUAAAACGACAGGCCAAGGCGUAGCCUAUGAGUAGGACAAUAAUGGGCUACAUUACUAAACAUAACAAAAGCUUCACUGAAACACAGUUGACAAAGAAGAAUUUAGCAGUAAGAAGAAUUAGAGCGUUCUUCUGAACCAGGACAUUGGACACGCACACACCGCCCGUCACCCUCACCAUAGACCACUGUAGGAGAGGAAAGUCGUAACAUGGUAAGCGUACCAGAAGGUGUGCUUGGAAGCAA